GCUUAAUUCAGCAGCACAUACACAAAAAUUGGAAUUGGAACCAUACAGAGAAGAUUAGCAUGGCCCCUGAGCAAGAAAGACAUGCAAAUUCAUGAAGCCUUCCAUAUUUAU